GGAGAUGAAAGCAGAUAAAGAAGAAAUGAACAGGCUUUCUACUGAUAAGAAAAAACAAUUUGGACCACUUGUACGGUGGCUGAAAGUGAAUUUUAGUGAAGCAUUUAUUGCAUGGAUUCACGUGAAAGCAUUACGGGUUUUCGUUGAGUCUGUUUUAAGGUAUGGCUUGCCAGUGAACUUCCAAGCAAUGCUACUUCAGCCCAAUAAGAAAACUUUGAAGAAACUGAGAGAAGUAUUACAUGAAUUGUAUAAACAUCUAGACAGCAGUGCAGCAGCUAUUAUUGAUGUAAGCUCCUAUGGAUAUUCCAGGUUUAAACCUGAGUCAACAAGAAUACUACCCCUAUGUGUACUACAAGAUUGAUUGCAACUUGCUGGAAUUCAAGUGAAAAUGGGCUCCUCCCCCGACAAUCCUGUCCUUGUGUUUGUGUGUGCUAACAGAAAUAAGUUGCAGUAUGGUCGUACUUUUAACUCUAGUAUCCUUUGCUUGCUUCUUACGCCCUUUCCUAGGUGAAUUCUCCCACAGUGGUCUGUAUCUCAACAUUUUCUUUUUAAAGGAAAAAAUAUAUAUAUAUAGUUUCUUUUUAUUGAUCAGGUCUGUAAAUGUGUACUAAAAAAAUCAGAGUUUAUUUAUAAACAAAAUAGUUUAUUUAAAGAGAAGGUCUCUUCCUUAUUGAUAUCAUGGUAUGCAUUAAUUCCAUUUGUUACUAUUGUGCACAAAAGCCCUGUUCACAGGGGAAUGGUGUAAACAUUUAUACUGUUUUGUUCACUGUAUUUAGUAGACAUAACUGUUGAAUAGUUACUGAAUCAUGAUGUAAAGAAUAUGUGACCAUCUUCAGGUAUGGGAUUUCUGAACGUUUCAAAUUUCAAUCAAUGAGCACUGUCAACACCCACAGGAGAGAAUAAAAUUACCUGUGCAAAGGUGUAUUGUGGUGUGUGUAACUUAAGAUUACAGUUCUGUUUGAGAGUUAAAUGAUGUCAUAGCUCACUUGCUAUGCUGCUUCCAGGAUUUUGUUAUAUGCUGAGGUGUAACCAUUUGUGUUGUCUGACUUUCGUAUGAUUUAAUUGAGCCAAAUUUGGGUCAGAACACAAAUUUGAAGAUGACUUUUCAGUAUAUGAUGGGUAUUUACAUUUGAACACUAGAAUUUUAGGUCUCUCAAAUAAUUAAGAAUAGAGCCAGUUUUGAAUAAAGUCUAGCAGAACUAUG
rnacentral:lncRNA from 1 species